GUAGGUGGCAAGCGUUGUCCGGAAUUAUUGGGCGUAAAGCGCGCGCAGGCGGUUCUUUAAGUCUGAUGUGAAAGCCCACGGGCUCAACCGUGGAGGUCAUUGGAAACUGGAGAACUUGAGUACAGAAGAGGAAAGCGGAAUUCCACGUGUAGCGGUGAAAUGCGUAGAGAUGUGGAGGAACACCAGUGGCGAAGGCGGCUUUCUGGUCUGUAACUGACGCUGAGGCGCGAAAGCGUGGGGAGCAAACAGGAUUAGAUACCCUGGUAGUCCACGCCGUAAACGAUGAGUGCUAAGUGUUAGGGGGUUUCCGCCCCUUAGUGCUGCAGCUAACGCAUUAAGCACUCCGCCUGGGGAGUACGGCCGCAAAGGCUG
rnacentral:rRNA from 1 species